UUAUUUAUAUAUAUUUUUAAUGUUUUUAGAUCAUUUUCUUCUAUAUAUUUGUGUGGUGUUCUGUACAUUGUGGUUGUGAAUUUUUAUUCACAUUGCCGUUCAUUUUAGUUUAAAAAAAAUAAAAUCAUUGUCAGUUUCGUCUAUCACUUGACAGGCGGUUUGGUCGCUUUAUUAGAAAGUUGUUUCUCUGCGCUGUGUGUGAAAGAAACACACACACACACACACACACACACACACACACACGCACACGAUUCGAUUAUUAUUAUUCGGUUAUGAGCGCGAGCACAUGUAAAGAGUUUUCUCUCUUUAUUAUUUAUGAUAAUUUAAAUAUCUAUCUAAAAAAUAACAUGCUAUUGUAUUGUGUGUGUAUGUAUAUAUAUAGUUACAAAGUAACUAGUAACUGGCUACUUGAGUAGUUUUUUCAUUGGAUACUUUUUUACUCUUACUCAAGUAACUAUUAAGAUUAUUACUUUCACUUUUACUUUGAGUAAAUAUUUCUAUAAGUACUUGUACUUUUACUUGAGUACAGUUUUUGGAUACUCUACCCACCUCUGUAAUUAACCUAAUUAGCUCAGGUGGAGAGGAUUCAGUUAAUCAACUUAACCAAUGACAAGAGGUAUAAAUACAGCAGACUUACCUCUGUGCGUCUGACAGUUUAUCAGCAUCCCUCCUCCAUCCCAUCUGUGUAGAGAACUUUUGAUUACCCGAUGGGACACACUUAUAGUUUUUGAAUACUCUAUGUUCGGGCAUGAUGGGAUAUGCUUAGCCUCGAAUACCGCUUCGGAUAGUGUGGGUUUAGUGUGCGUUAAGGGCACUGCACCUUGGCAUUUUUAAGACAUGGGACAGUCUUGCACACUCACUUCCUGUCACGUGCACGAGCUCUCAAGUGGCCAAGACCGCAAGUGUGGGUAUUUGGACAAAGCAUUCGGGCGCUUCUCAAAUGGAAGGUUGCAAAUCUCGGCUGUCACGUCAUCAAACGUCGCUGAAGGCUAUCUCAAUCAGAAGGAUCCUUGAAAGGCAGCCUUCAUUUUUCAUCCAUCAUUCAUCUCAUCUUGAAAGAUGCUUCAGGUCCAGCACUACAGCUGAAUUAAUAUGAGUGUUCCAGUCCUUCAGCGAUUCUUUGGUGGAGAGGAUACAAGGCCUGAUUUUCGUCUCAGCAGGGAGGACAUAAGUGAACUCCUGACAGUGCUGGAGAUGGACAGGCAUCAUGGGUAGAGGCCGACUCUGGAAACCCUGGUGAUCCUGUUUUGGUUGGCAACUGGGACAUCCUACAGCUUAGUUUGCAGGGCCUUUGAAUGCCCCUACCAACUGUCCCAAUUGUUAUAUUUAUAAUGUAUGAAAAACUAUAAAAUCAGCCACUUUUCUUUACAUUCACAACACUGGCAUACCAUCAGAGUAUGCACAUGAAUAUGGACCUAGAGCUGACUUGAUACACCUGAUUUACAAUAUUGCUACACAUUCUUUCUUAUAACAACCAAAUUAUUGAUCUCAUUUUACCUGCAGGUGGUUGCAGCUUGUGCAAUAUUGCACAACAUAUGCAUUGGUGUAGGUGACCUCUUGGAAGAUGGAGAUGUUCCACAGGACAACAAUCAGCCUCUCCGAGGAAAUAAUGAUGACAGCCGGAGCGGAGCAGCAUGGAUCAUGACUACUUUUUUCAGAGAGGAUUGUGGGUAAUUGAAGGCAGCGAAGGAUACGUCUGAUCCAUCCUUCAGAACAGGCAGAAUGAAGGGCGCGAAACAAAGGCUGCCUUCCAGGUCCUUCAGAUUGAGAUGGCCUUCAGCAGCGCUUGAUGACGUCGCAGCCGAGAUUUGCAGCCUUUUAAUGCUGAGAGUACUAGUCUACAAGCCUCAGAAGGACUGGACUAUGAAGGACGCAGUCUUCUGUUUGAGAAGCACCCAAAGUUUCUUACGCAGAGCUUUCAAAAUGACAGAGGAGAAGAUGACUUUUCAGCUUACAAGAACAUCGCUGAAUUACUGUAAACGAUGUAAGUAACAGUGCUCAGUUGAAGGUGGUAGUUCACUAUUAGCUAAUCAGUAACUACUGUUUUUUCAUUCCUCCCAGAGAACUACUAAGAACUACUAUAUACAGGUUCAUAAUUAACAUGAAUGAUGCAUAAUGUAUAAUUAAUUCUAAAGUGAAGGUCAUGGUAACACACUAGUAAUGACUGAAGUAUUACCAAAUCCUUUAGAAGGAAUUACUAAUUAUUUGGAUCAGUAUUCUGAAGUGAGAAACAUGAUAACUCUCUAGUAACUACUGGAGUCAUUGUAAACUUUUGAGGUUAAUAGUUAAUUUUACUAGUUACUAGAGUGUUAAUAAUGCAUUACUCAUUUGUUCCUGUGUAGUUAUUCAUUAAUGAAGGAUCAGUUUUCUAAAGUGUUUCCAAUCAGGCAAAUAAGAUCACUGGACAUAAACACUCACUCUAGGACUUGCUUGAUCGUUUUAUGAAAAAAAAAAAAAGAAAAAUGUCAAUUGUGAUUUUUAAAGACCGUACUCACCCCCCUUCACUCUGGUUUUGAAAUGCUCACAUCUGGGCGAAGACUCAAAAUUCCUUUGGCCAGAAGUAAUGUGUAUAAAACAUUAUUUGUCCCAAUGGCAGUGAUUAUUAUAAAUCACACUAUUUUCUGAAAUAAUGCAAGAGAACGGUUGGCAAUAUAGUGCUUUUUAAUUGAUUGUUUAGAUGAAUUUUUAUUGUUGUGGGAUGUUUGGAAAUAUGUUAGGAAUGAUGUGGAUAGUGUAAUUCUGUUUAUUUCUGUGUUUGUGUGUCAGUGUGUGUCGUGUUGUUAAGCACUUCUGUGGAUGUAUUUAUGUAUAUGUAUGACACCAGUGUCAAAGACAAAUUUCUGCUCCGUGACAAACAGAAUGAACAAUAAAGUUAACUUAAGCUCAGA